GAGCUUUGAGUCAACGUGCACGGCAACAAACCGAUCGUGACACUAAGCCGCGGAUACCGCAUCGCCGGUCGACAGGGGCAAAUGGCCCGUUGCUCGUAUCGUGGGCCGUGACUCGUACUCGGCCAACUCGGCGUCUUUUCGUGGCCCCUCGCGUCGUCGCAACCAGCCGCAAACAUACCAGCCCGCGACCGUGGCCGAUGUCGGAGAAAAGCGAAACCGAAACGUAAAGCUUCCGCCCAGUGGCUUCCGCUGCCGCGCCUUUUCUAACUUCCCGGCCAGUCCCGGUUUACACGCUUCCGGUCGUCGUGGAGAUGGCGACGCAGCCAGACGUAGCGGUUUUGGCGCUGGCUCCUUCUGCGUUUUACGGGACAGAUGUUUUACGGUCCGUUUCUACUGCGUCUCUGGCUCUCAACUCGACGACGCCUCUCAUGGUUCAACCAGGCGUGGUCAGCCGGGGUCAGCACAGCUACCGGCUCAACUCGUCCGAUCGCCGGACCGCAGGCGACUUCCGAUUUCGGCCGUUAGGCCUAGGAUCCGAAGGACUCUGUUUCCGUGCAGCGUCUCUGCCCCACCAGAUACAACAUCUGGCCUAAAGCAGUGUUCCGGAUCUCCUUCCAAGACCUCAGGCGGGUCGUCAUUCAAUCCAGGAGGCGGCGGCGUCUCAUGGGCGUGUUGCUGGUGCUUCUUACUGGAUGGUGCUACCGAGGGAAAAGUGGUCGUGCUUGGGAAAGGCAAGUAUGGCCGCCGUAAGUAUAGAUAUUGUUUUUACCUUUGCUCGGACCCACCUUUAAGAAAUGCACAGUUCGCAUGUGUGCAUCUCUCAAUGCUUCUACAGUCGGCUGUUAAUAUUUGGAGUGCUCCAACUCUGUCAGCGCUAGUUUCUCUAGAUUAUGCAAAUGGGAUGCAACACUAAACCACAUAUGCUGUCGCAACAAACAGUGCUCUGCUGAAGCACGCAUUGUGGAAUCUACUCUGGCUUUAUAAUGCAGCACAAAAUAGUUGACGCCAAGUAUAGCUACUUUUGUGACUCCGUUUUACCAAAAGCUCUGCCGAAAUAAACUUGCCACCUUAUAGGUAGUGCAAAAGAACCUCGCGUGCCUAACCUGGAGAAGGGCAUUUUUUUCAUAGGUCAAUUUUUUCUUAAACCAAUACCUUCAGCCUCCUUGAAAUGUUAACAUCAUGUGACACUCAGAAGAACAGUAAACCCCUUAAUGUUGGCGAACCUUUACUUUUCGCGGCCUUUAAUUUUGCGGAAUUCAGUGACUGCGAUUAUGUCCUCUGUGACCGAUUCGAGAAGAAAUAGGGGCCACCAAGAUAAGGGGGUUUUACUGUCCAUGGAGGAGAGAGGAAGUCACCUUUGUUUGUAUGCAAGAGUAAAACCAACAACAACAAUCAUGGUGCCGACACUUUGUGAGCCUAUCUGUGUCUAUUGAAUGAUAUCAAUUUUGUUUUUGUUCGUUAAAAAUUGUUGCCUGUCCACUGUGGGAUGUCGUCUUCAACACGAGCAGUGGUUUUCCUCUGAAGCAGGCAGCAUGGACGCGUGCCGCAGCACAACAUAGUUUAUUUGCAGGUGGUACCGCAGUUUGAAGGAUGGUUCGCACAAUAUGGGGGAAUCGCAAUUCAAUGUUCUACCUCGGGCGUAGACAAGAUUUGCUCAUUCUAAAUCAUUUUGUCUACAAAUCGGGAACUUGCAACGAAUGUACCCGCAUGGUUGGAAGGGCCAGACAAGCCUUGCGAGCGCUUCGUUUUCUAGCCUCUCAGUCCUGAACCUACUCACGCACCACAUGUGUAGAUGUUCCGGUACGUGGGAGCACUUAUUUGGAAAAUGGUGAAUGGCAACUGUUGUUAUCUUUAAGGUGGACUGCAUAUUUGCAGUACUUUUCCUCACUUAAAAAUAUGUCUUACUAAAAAUAUGUAGUAUAGCCGAUGACAAAAAGAGAAUGGCUGGGCGUCCUCCAGCACAUGCUUGUGCUUUUCACCCCGCUUUAGACAGAUGUGCUCGCUCCAGGCUCAUCAGGCGCUGAAACGUCAUCGAAGGUAGCAGACGGGCUGGAGGUCGAACAACGGAGACUUCUCCCUGCCUUUCUGAUGGUGCCCAUAUGAGGGAGUCACUCCGAGAGCCUCACCAGAGUUUCCUGCCCGUGGUCGUUCUAAAUGUUUUUGUUGUAGCUACUUGGGUGCCUCAAGAUCUGGAGAUCCUAGUGGCCACAAGCUUGGACUCAAUCUUUUUCUGUGGUCUGGGCAGGACCAUGGGGGAGGUAAUCCCAGCAACAAGAGCAUCGCAGUAUCUCCCUGGCUGUGACUUUCGGUCUGCGUCACGACAGGGGAGUCCUCGUGCCACCAGGUGUUAGGUGCGCUCGCAGCACAAAUCUGGGUUGUGCUGAUCCUCUACGCACAAGUUAGGAACUCCUGAGUGGCAAGAGUGGGAGUUUGGUCUGACAGCUCAAGGGACACCAUUGUUCAGUAUUGAAUUUUUAAUAAUCUUCUUUUAAGCAAAGUUAAGCUUUGCUGCAUGCAGUUCUUGUAAAAAUAAAUACCUGCAACCAAAUUUACCAGGUCACGACAUUUCGCCUCUGCUCUUAGUGGUCCUGGUGAGCCUCGGAUAAGAGCUUACUGGUGUGCAAACACCAUGCUUGUUUGAAACCACUCACUGAUGUAGAGACUCGCUGACAUCCAGCAUUCCAAUGAAACGCUGGAUGUCCACAAGUCUUUCUUGAACAAUGCAAGCGGGGAAGGAACCAUACAAUCGUAUCGUAUUGGGGGACAUUCUACAGUUUUUUUUCUAUGUUUUACAGAUUUUUUUUAAAAAAGCCGUAAAAGCUACAUUUACGCGGUCUGUGCACGUGAGUUAUAUGGCCAGGGCGGCAUAGUAUAAAAGGCUAAUUUGUAAUGAUCCGUCGGCUUAUUACAGAGAUGUGCCAGACUUCUUUCAGAAAACUAGAUGGAGGUUCAUUCUAGCGUAGUUUUAUCCCGCGAAUCUGAAUAUCCCGUUCGUUUUCCUCAAAGAUAUAACUAAACGUGAGAAAACACAAAAAACAUCCCA